AGUUAAGUGACUAAGCGUACACGGUGGAUGCCUAGGCAAUCAGAGGCGAAGAAGGACGUGCUAAUCUGCGAAAAGCUUGGAUGAGUUGAUAAGAAGCGUUUAAUCCAAGAUAUCCGAAUGGGGAAACCCGAUGGAUGAAGAAUCCAUCAUUUCAUUAUGAAUCCAUAGUAAUGAAAGGCAAACCGGGAGAACUGAAACAUCUAAGUACCCCGAGGAAAAGAAAUCAAUCGAGAUUUUGUAAGUAGCGGCGAGCGAAAGCGAAAGAGCCAGUGAGUGAUAGCAGCAAAGACAGAAGAAUUGGCUGGGAAGCCAAGCGACACAGGGUGAUAGCCCCGUAUUCGAAGUUUUUGUUGUGGUACUAAGCUUGCAACAAGUAGGGCGGGACACGAGAAAUCCUGUUUGAAGAUGGGGGGACCAUCCUCCAAGGCUAAAUACUCCUGAUUGACCGAUAGUGAACCAGUACUGUGAAGGAAAGGCGAAAAGAACCCCAGUGAGGGGAGUGAAAUAGAACCUGAAACCGUGUACGUACAAGCAGUGGGAGCCCUUUGGGGUGACUGCGUACCUUUUGUAUAAUGGGUCAGCGACUUAUAUUUUGUAGCGAGGUUAACUGAAUAAGGGAGCCGAAGGGAAACCGAGUCUUAACUGGGCGGAUAGUUGCAAGGUAUAGACCCGAAACCCGGUGAUCUAGCCAUGGGCAGGUUGAAGGUUGGGUAACACUAACUGGAGGACCGAACCGACUAAUGUUGAAAAAUUAGCGGAUGACUUGUGGCUGGGGGUGAAAGGCCAAUCAAACCGGGAGAUAGCUGGUUCUCCCCGAAAUCUAUUUAGGUAGAGCCUUAUGUGAAUACCUUCGGGGGUAGAGCACUGUUUCGGCUAGGGGUCCAUCCCGGAUUACCAACCCGAUGCAAACUGCGAAUACCGAAGAGUAAUGCAUAGGAGACACACGGUGGGUGCUAACGUCCAUCGUGGAGAGGGAAACAACCCAGACCGCCAGCUAAGGUCCCAAAGUCUAUAUUAAGUGGGAAACGAAGUGGGAAGGCUUAGACAGCUAGGAUGUUGGCUUAGAAGCAGCCAUCAUUUAAAGAAAGCGUAAUAGCUCACUAGUCGAGUCGGCCUGCGCGGAAGAUGUAACGGGGCUAAAAUAUAGCACCGAAGCUGCGGCAUCAG
rnacentral:rRNA from 1 species